CGCCGCAGGGGGGCGCUGCAGCCCUCGCCGGCUGCCCGCGCGCUCCAGGCGGUCCCCGCGGCUGGGCGCGCCGCUGCAAGAUGUCCGUGCACCGCGGCCAGCGGCCCGCGCGGCCCGCCACCCGCCUCUCCUGGCUGCUGUGCUGCAGCGCCCUGCUGUCCCCGGCCGCGGGCUACGUGAUCGUGAGCUCCGUGUCCUGGGCCGUCACUAACGAGGUGGACGAGGAGCUGGACAGCGCCUCCACCGAGGAGGCGCUGCCCGCGCUGCUGGAGGACUCGGGCAGCAUCUGGCAGCGCAGCUUCCCGGCCUCCGCACACAAGGAGGACGCGCACCUGCCGCCUCCGCCAGGCGCCGCCCGCGCCAGGCCGCCCCCAGCGCCGCCUGGGAUGUUCUCCUACCGGCGCGAGAGCGGCCCGAGGCUGCGCCCCGGCAUCGCCCGCUUCCUGGCUCACGCCAGUGCCUGGGGCUGUCUGGCCACCGUGUCCGCCCACGAGAAGAUCCCAGGACUGCCGUUUGGGAACUGCCUGCCCAUCAGCGACGGCCCCUUGAACAACAGCACUGGGACUCCUUUCUUCUAUGUGACACCCAAGGACCCUGCAGUGGCCGAUCUGAUGAAGAACCCCAUGGCUUCCCUCCUGCUGCCAGAAUCAGAAGGAGAGUUCUGCAGAAAAAACAUCGUUGACCCAGAAGACCCCCGAUGCGCCCGCCUGACGCUCACCGGCCAGAUGAUCGCCGUGUCUCCAGAAGAAGUGGAAUUUGCCAAGCAAGCCAUGUUUUCAAGACACCCCGUAAUGAGGAAGUGGCCUCGUCAGUAUGAAUGGUUCUUUAUGAAGAUGAAGGUAGAACAUAUCUGGCUGCAGAAAUGGUAUGGAGGAGUAGCUGACAUUUCCAAGGAGGAGUACUUCAAAGCAGCCCCAAGAAAGGCCUGAUGCGUGCCUUCGGACACCUUCUGCAGCUGCACCUUCUCUCCUACGGCCUUCUGUCCUGCUGCCAGAGCCCCAACAUUCUUGAUUCAUCAUCUGAAUUAGCCUGCUCAAGGAGUGAUCCACCACAAGGUAAGAUUCCAUGGAGAACAGGCCCUGCCCUCAGGAUGCUUCUGUUUGGUAAACAGUCUGUAAACAACCAGGUUGUUAAGCCAGGUCUUCUGGAAAUGUCUGUGGAUUCUCCAGCACUUUGGCCAGUAUCCCCAACAUCCCUACUGCUUUCUGUUGGAACCACCCCGCCUCCCCCCACCCCUGCCCUGGAUACACUGGUUGUUCAUAUCUGCAACCAAGUAGAACACAGGAAAGCCACAGCGCCAGAAUUGGUCUGAUCUUAGAUCCAGGGCCCACAUCCUCCCAGUGGCCCUCCACACCUCCAAGCUCCUCCUUGGGUGCUCCCCCUUCUCUCAAGCAGAUGUCAGAGCCGCUCCACACUCUUCAGCCCUGGGAGCCCGCGUACUCGUUCCCCUCCCCCAGGGCUCCGAAGCCUUCGGAUGAGCACCACCUCAGCUCUGUUCAGAAUUGCCCAUUGUCUUCCCUCCUCUUCCAAUAGGCUCCCCUGCGGAAAGGUUUCCCACCAGCUGCAGGAUGCAGUCAUCAGUAAGCACAGUUGAUCGAGGUAGAAGCCAGCACCGUGGAGCAGGGUGGGACAACGGAGAGCUUCGGGUAUUCUUUAAAGGUAGCAGAUACGCCACAUAAUGGGAACUAAGCUGGGGAAAGAAGGAAGUGAAGUCAAGGAGAGAUGACCUCAGGGAGAAGCUGGACCAGCUGUCAGGGGACCCAGGACUGCAAAGAAUAGCUGUGCUAACCUUAAAAAUAGAACUGUCAGUUAUCUUCCCGUCAAAAAUGGGUUUAUUCAGGAAUGGUAGAGAAUGGCAACUUGGGCCAAGGAGGCCCACGCAAUUCCACAAAACAAAGGAGAGGAGGGUCUUUCAUAGAGGAAACAGGGAAGGUGGGUGAGCUGUUACAAGCACUAUGUUCAUUGGUGUAAACGGGGAGUUCAACGUGCAGCGGCUUUUCAUUGGCUGAGUUGUGACAGUCUCCCAUUGGCUGGGCUGUGGGAGCGGGGAGGAGAGAACCCUUUCUCCCUCCUGCCUGUAGAGUGGAGUGGUAGCUAACUGAAGGGCCUCUCCCCUGCCGGUUAAUUAAUUCUUCCCGUUGGGUCUGCAAUUGAUAACCGACGGCAGUGCGUGAGAGCUCCCCCUGCUGGCCUCCUCACGUCAUGUUCAGUGAGGUUUCCUUUUACCAAUUUUCCACAGCUGCAAGGGGGCACUUGAGCCGACCAGCUGCAAGGCCAGGUCUCUGUAAACAGGGAGACGUGGGAACUAAUGCUCCCUAGAGCCGAACUGUCAGUUAUCACCACGGCCAAGCUGUGGCUGUGGGAGGCCGCUGGAGUGACCAGAAGAUGGUGGUGAAGCUUCGUGAAUUUGAGAAAUGAGUGAAUCCCUUGAAUCCCGGCUUCUUCGUGUGCAGAGAAGGAAGAGUAUCACCAAGCGCCUGGCGGAGCACAGGGGUUAAAGACAGAUGAUGGCAUGAUGUCCCGUUAUUUUCACAUUUCAUAUUAGCCGUUUGUCCGUGUGUCAGACUCCUCGGUAAGACUGUGAGCUGCUUGAGGGGGCUGAUUUCACACUGUGCCCUGUUCAUGGCUCGCAAGGUUUGGCAAGAAUGUGGGCUUUGGGCCAGAGCCCCUCCCCAAGUCCCAUGGGUACCUUUCACGGACAUUUUUUUUUUUUUUUUACUCCUUCUCCUGCUGUGACUCUCAUCCCUAGCCUUCAUGCCCCUCACUGAGAUCGUGCGUCCUCCUGGACACUUCCAGAUAAACUGCUGACCCUGCCAGAGCUUCUGACUUCCCAGGCUUCCAAACCUGGCGGAUUUUUCAGGAGAGCCUGGCAAAGGAUCGCUGCGCCACCUGCUGGCGAUACCCGGGAACUUCACCCUUUUCAGAACCAGAAAACCAGGGACAAAGAAUCCGGAAUCCAAAACGCAGGAUCCAGGCCAGAGAGGAAGUGCAGCCCCGAGAGCCACCUUUAAUGAAGUAUCCGUGGUGGACGUGAAUGCACACCACGCUCUCCCUUUGAAAACAUACGCAGAUAAGUGUUUUCCCGGCACAUGAUGACAGGACAGAUACAAUAUGGCAU